rnacentral:rRNA from 1 species
UACGUAAGGGGCAAGCGUUGUCCGGAAUCACUGGGCGUAAAGCGCACGUAGGCGGUGAAGCAAGUCAGGGGUGCAAGCUCCAGGCCUAACCUGGAAACUGCCUCUGAAACUACUUCGCUUGAGUGUCAGAGGGGAAACUGGAAUUCACGGUGUAGCGGUGAAAUGCGUAGAUAUCGUGGAGAACACCCGUGGCGAAGGCGGGUUUCUGGCUGACGACUGACGCUGAGGUGCGAAAGCUAGGGGAGCGAACGGG